rnacentral:rRNA from 1 species
GCUUACGGCCAUACCAACCUGGCUAUGCCCGAUCUCGUCUGCUCUCGGAAGCUAAGCAGGUUUGGGCCUGAGUUAGUACUUGGAUGGGAGACCGCCUGGGAAAUACCAGGUGCUGUAAGCU